rnacentral:rRNA from 1 species
UACAGAGGUCCCAAGCGUUGUUCGGAUUCACUGGGCGUAAAGGGUGCGUAGGUGGUGAGGCAAGUCGGAUGUGAAAUCUCCGAGCUCAACUCGGAAAUGGCAUUGGAAACUACCUUGCUAGAGGGUUGGAGGGGGGACUGGAAUACUUGGUGUAGCAGUGUAAUGCGUAGAUAUCAAGUGGAACACCAGUGGCGAAGGCGAGUCCCUGGACAACUCCUGACACUGAGGCACGAAAGCUAGGGGAGCAAACAGG